AGGUGAGUCCAGCUCCAUUCCAGCGAUCUAUUUCAUCUCGCAUUGUAAAUGAAAUGGUGAUGAAAUGUCAUUCAAUACGUACAAUACUUCAUUGGUAUAGUAACCCUAAACACGUUCCUUGGUUUCCGGGUGUGACCGCGCAUGCGCGUGGGUGAGUCACAACAUACAUAUAGACUAGUGUGAGGUCCACGUUAUAAUAUUAGUGGAGUAAGACAGGAGAACAGUGUGUUACUGAUUCUCUGUCUUGCCACUGCCUUCUAUAGAGGAUAGCUGAUAGGGAUAUAUCUGAUGAACUGCAUUAACUGUUCAUUCUUGUUAAAAAUAAUCAUAUUUUAUUCGCCACGGAAAUAUAUUCUCAAUGAUUUGAUAAUAAAUUUCCAUAAUUGAGACUAAAUACAAUGAUUUUAUGAUGAAUUCUCACAAUUUUAAUUGUAUAUUUUGUUAAUUGACCGAGUGAAGUGAGGUCCAAGAUUCAAGUUUACUGUUUGGCAU